UACCAGCACCCCGAGUUGUCGGGACGAUUAUUGGGCCUAAAGCAUCCGUAGCCUGUUCUGCAAGUCCUCCGUUAAAUCCACCUGCUCAACAGAUGGGCUGCGGAGGAUACCGCAGAGCUAGGAGGCGGGAGAGGCAAACGGUACUCAGUGGGUAGGGGUAAAAUCCAUUGAUCUACUGAAGACCACCAGUGGCAAAGGCGGUUUGCCAGAACGCGCUCGACGGUGAGGAAUGAAAGCUGGGGGAGCAAACCGG
rnacentral:rRNA from 1 species